UGUAGUCAUAUGCUUGUCUCAAAGAUUAAGCCAUGCAUGUCUAAGUAUAAGCAAUUAUACAGCGAAACUGCGAAUGGCUCAUUAUAUAAGUUAUCGUUUAUUUGAUAGUACCUUACUACUUGGAUAACCGUGGUAAUUCUAGAGCUAAUACAUGCUAAAAAUCCCGACUUCGGAAGGGAUGUAUUUAUUAGAUUAAAAACCAAUGCCCUCUGGGCUCUCUGGUGAUUCAUGAUAACUUCUCGAAUCGCAUGGCCUUGCGCCGGCGAUGGUUCAUUCAAAUUUCUUCCCUAUCAACUUUCGAUGUUUGGGUAUUGGCCAAACAUGGUCGCAACGGGUAACGGAGGGUUAGGGCUCGACCCCGGAGAAGGAGCCUGAGAAACGGCUACUACAUCCAAGGAAGGCAGCAGGCGCGCAAAUUACCCAGUCCCGACACGGGGAGGUAGUGACAAUAAAUACUGAUACAGGGCUCUUUCGGGUCUUGUAAUUGGAAUGAGUACAAUUUAAAUCCCUUAACGAGGAACAAUUGGAGGGCAAGUCUGGUGCCAGCAGCCGCGGUAAUUCCAGCUCCAAUAGCGUAUAUUAAAGUUGUUGUGGUUAAAAAGCUCGUAGUUGAACCUUGGGCCUGGCUGGCCGGUCCGCCUCACCGCGUGUACUGGUCCGGCCGGGCCUUUCCCUCUGUGGAACCUCAUGCCCUUCACUGGGCGUGACGGGGAAACAGGACUUUUACUGUGAAAAAAUUAGAGUGCUCCAGGCAGGCCUAUGCUCGAAUACAUUAGCAUGGAAUAAUGAAAUAGGACGUGCGGUUCUAUUUUGUUGGUUUCUAGGACCGCCGUAAUGAUUAAUAGGGACAGUCGGGGGCAUCAGUAUUCAAUUGUCAGAGGUGAAAUUCUUGGAUUUAUUGAAGACUAACUACUGCGAAAGCAUUUGCCAAGGAUGUUUUCAUUAAUCAGGAACGAAAGUUAGGGGAUCGAAGACGAUCAGAUACCGUCGUAGUCUUAACCAUAAACUAUGCCGACUAGGGAUCA
rnacentral:rRNA from 1 species